GCUAUAAUGCAGUCGAGCGGACAGAAGGGAGCUUGCUCCCGGAUGUUAGCGGCGGACGGGUGAGUAACACGUGGGUAACCUGCCUGUAAGACUGGGAUAACUCCGGGAAACCGGAGCUAAUACCGGAUAGUUCCUUGAACCGCAUGGUUCAAGGAUGAAAGACGGUUUCGGCUGUCACUUACAGAUGGACCCGCGGCGCAUUAGCUAGUUGGUGAGGUAACGGCUCACCAAGGCGACGAUGCGUAGCCGACCUGAGAGGGUGAUCGGCCACACUGGGACUGAGACACGGCCCAGACUCCUACGGGAGGCAGCAGUAGGGAAUCUUCCGCAAUGGACGAAAGUCUGACGGAGCAACGCCGCGUGAGUGAUGAAGGUUUUCGGAUCGUAAAGCUCUGUUGUUAGGGAAGAACAAGUGCAAGAGUAACUGCUUGCACCAUGACGGUACCUAACCAGAAAGCCACGGCUAACUACGUGCCAGCAGCCGCGGUAAUACGUAGGUGGCAAGCGUUGUCCGGAAUUAUUGGGCGUAAAGGGCUCGCAGGCGGUUUCUUAAGUCUGAUGUGAAAGCCCCCGGCUCAACCGGGGAGGGUCAUUGGAAACUGGGAAACUUGAGUGCAGAAGAGGAGAGUGGAAUUCCACGUGUAGCGGUGAAAUGCGUAGAGAUGUGGAGGAACACCAGUGGCGAAGGCGACUCUCUGGUCUGUAACUGACGCUGAGGAGCGAAAG
rnacentral:rRNA from 1 species